GGCUGUGUGGUCUAGUGGUAUGAUUCUCGCUUAGGGUGCGAGAGGGCUGUGCGGUAUUGUGUACAAUUCGCGCCGAAGGCG
rnacentral:tRNA from 1 species